GACGAACGCUGGCGGCGUGCUUAACACAUGCAAGUCGAACGGACUACUUUGCUUCGGUAAGGUGGUUAGUGGCGAACGGGUGAGUAACGCGUAGACAACCUACCUCUUAGAUGGGGACAACAUCGCGAAAGCGGUGCUAAUACCGAAUGAAGUGACUUUCCUGCAUGGGAGAGAUACUAAAGGUGGCCUCUAUUUAUAAGCUACCACUGAGAGAUGGGUCUGCGUUUGAUUAGCUAGUUGGCGGGGUAACGAUCCACCAAGGCGACGAUCAGUAGACGGUCUAGUAGGACUAUCCGACACAUUGGGACUCAGACACGGCCCAAAGUCCGACGGGAGGCAGCAGUGGGGAAGCUUCCGCAAUGGACGAAAGUCUGACGGAGCAACGCCGCGUGAGUGUAGAAGGUUUUCGGAUGGUAAAGCUCUGUUGUUUGAGACGAAUGUUCCUGUUUCGAAUAGGGCUAGGUAAUGACGGUAUUAAACGAGAAAGCCACGGCUAACUACGUGCCAGCAGCCGCUGUAA
rnacentral:rRNA from 1 species